GAUGAACGCUGGCGGCGUGCUUAACACAUGCAAGUCGAACGGUGAACCCGGAGCUUGCUCUGUGGGAUCAGUGGCGAACGGGUGAGUAACACGUGAGCAACCUGCCCCUGACUCUGGGAUAAGCUCUGGAAACGGCGUCUAAUACCGGAUAUGUGACGUUACUGCAUGGUCUGCGUUUGGAAAGAUUUUUCGGUUGGGGAUGGGCUCGCGGCCUAUCAGCUUGUUGGUGGGGUAAUGGCUCACCAAGGCGUCGACGGGUAGCCGGCCUGAGAGGGUGACCGGCCACACUGGGACUGAGACACGGCCCAGACUCCUACGGGAGGCAGCAGUGGGGAAUAUUGCACAAUGGGCGGAAGCCUGAUGCAGCAACGCCGCGUGAGGGAUGACGGCCUUCGGGUUGUAAACCUCUUUUAGCAGGGAAGAAGCGAAAGUGACGGUACCUGCAGAAAAAGCGCCGGCUAACUACGUG
rnacentral:rRNA from 1 species